rnacentral:rRNA from 1 species
ACGAACGCUGGCGGCAGGCUUAACACAUGCAAGUCGAGCGCCCCGCAAGGGGAGCGGCAGACGGGUGAGUAACGCGUGGGAAUCUACCCAUCUCUACGGAAUAACGCAUGGAAACGUGUGCUAAUCCGGUAUACGUCCUUCGGGAGAAAGAUUUAUCGGCGAUGGAUGAGCCCGCGUUGGAUUAGCUAGUUGGUGGGGUAAAGGCCUACCAAGGCGACGAUCCAUAGCUGGUUUGAGAGGAUGAUCAGCCACACUGGGACUGAGACACGGCCCAGACUCCUACGGGAGGCAGCAGUGGGGAAUAUUGGACAAUGGGCGCAAGCCUGAUCCAGCCAUGCCGCGUGAGUGAUGAAGGCCCUAGGGUUGUAAAGCUCUUUCACCGGUGAAGAUAAUGACGGUAACCGGAGAAGAAGCCCCGGCUAACUUCGUGCCAGCAGCCGCGGUAAUACGAAGGGGGCUAGCGUUGUUCGGAUUUACUGGGCGUAAAGCGCACGUAGGCGGACUAUUAAGUCAGGGGUGAAAUCCCGGGGCUCAACCCCGGAACUGCCUUUGAUACUGGUAGUCUUGAGUUCGAGAGAGGUGAGCGGAAUUCCGAGUGUAGAGGUGAAAUUCGUAGAUAUUCGGAGGAACACCAGUGGCGAAGGCGGCUCACUGGCUCGAUACUGA